CUCUGCUUCACACAGACACAAGCUUCCUGUACCAUGAUGCUCUGCUUCACACAGACACAAGCUUCCUGUACCAUGAUGCUCUGCUUCACACAGACACAAGCUUCCUGUACCAUGAUGCUCUGCUUCACACAGACACAAGCUUCCUGUACCAUGAUGCUCUGCUUCACACAGACACAAGCUUCCUAUACCAUGAUGCUCUGCUUCACACAGACACAAGCUUCCUGUACCAUGAUGCUCUGCCUCACCCUAGCAUAAGCUUCCUGUACCAUGAUGCUCUGCCUCAAAGGGACCCAGAUUCAUCAGAGCCAAGGACUAUGAAUCAAAACUCUGAAGCUGUGAGCUUAAACUAACCCUCCUGAUGCAGAGAGCUGUGAGUCACUCAAUCCUACACCCCCUCGAAGCAGAGAAGGUCAGCCCUGCAGAGAGCAGACUGAAGCUUCCUCCCUGUAGUUCAAUUUCUCUACAGGUUGGGACAGGCACAGUGGUGCCCCACUUUAAUCAGUACUCAGGAAGCAGAGGCUGGCACAUCUCUGUGACUUGAGGGUCAAUCCAAUCCCUGAUCUACACAGAAGGUUCCAUGCCAGUUGGUUGCAUAGUGAGACUCUGUCCUGAAAGCAACAAUUGAUCUCCUGAUCUCUUUUCGAGUUUAUAAGACUCAAAUUGAAAGAUCCACAACGUGAGGACUCCCCCACGUUCUGACUCAGGAGAGGCGACACCCCAAAUCACUCACGAGAAAUGGUCUUGAUGCAAACUGCAAGAGGUUUAUUCGAGAAAGACCAGUGCACUGGAGACGACCCUCGCAGGGGUAGAGGAGUCGACCAUGAGCUCAAGGGAGUUAUUUUAAAGGAAGGACAGCUACAGUAAUGCCACCCAUAUCUCAGAAAUGAAAAAUGAAGACCAACCAUCUCACAGAGAGGCUAAAAUAGAAGACGACAGAAAAUGGAUCCUAACAAUGACACAAAUGGAUAACAUGAUCAUACUGAA